GUUUCUAGAUGAUUAAUCAUANUUUUUUUUUCAGUUUACGGAUCUUAAAAGUUCGAGCACAAAGAGUUGGCACAGUUUAUUCUUCUUUCUUUGUUAUUAUGAGGCAUGAUCGCAAUGUCUUUGUUUAACUAUGUGCUUCAAGAAGCUAUAUUUUUACAAGGACUCUGAAAUAGGGUCUUUAACUUACAAUUAGCUUUUCCCUGUGAAAUUUACAUUUUUUUUACGCCAUCCUUUAGUUGUUUCUUUUUGUAUCCUGUCAACUUAUCUUGGUCUAUUCAUACAAAUUGGAGAGGAAUAAUGUAUUUAUUUCCUAAUUUAUAUUGACAUAUAUGAUCAUUUUAAUGCUCUAUUAUUGUUUAGUAUUUUAUCUUGUUAAUAUAUUCCAGUAUUUUUGAAAAUGAGUGUCUGACUGUGGUUGCUGAAUGGAUCAAGAAUGUAAACUGAGAAUUGUAUUAUGUUAUUCAAUAAAAGAUGAAAAUGGAAAUAACACUCCGAGGCUCCUCGAGAGGCCUAACUCUCCUCCUAACACUCUACUUUUCUCGAUGAAUUCUACAGCCUUCCCCCCAUCACAUUUAUUGGCAUUCCCCCCCACGAUUCAGUUCCCUAAUUUACCCCUUGAACUAACUAACUAUUAACUACUUGGACUAAAAAGGAAUAAUAUGCUGUAUUGACUGUAACCCUGCUGAUUAUCUCUGUUUUCCUUUAUUGGGAGUCCAUCACAAUCAUGGGGCUGAUCUGAGGUGAUCUCGAAGUGAUAUUUUUGGGUUUUCUGAAGUUAAUAAUGAGGGAAUCGUUGACCUAAGAUUUGUUUUGAUAUUCUCUAUUACUGCAGGCUGUAGAAUAUGAAGCUUAAGGAUGGAUAUUUGGAAUUUUUAUGUCUGAAUUGUGUGGAAAAGUAUCUAGAUAAAAGGGUAUAAAUAUUACUAUGAGUAUGUCAUGUAUGAAGGGCUUGGUUCUAGAGGAGGAAAAAGAAUAAGCUGUUGUGGGACUGAUGAGAAUAACACUGGAGUACAUUACCUUUUGGUAAAUUGAGGAUGAUUACUGAUGAUGUUAUUUUAUAGGAAAGUAAUGGGCUUUAGAAGUAUCUAAUUCGCAAUGAGGAGAAGAAUCAAAGUACUGGAAUUGUGAGGGUAAUGCAACGAGGUUUUGGUGGGGGCAAAAAAAAUAGAAUGCUAUAAGUACUGUACAAUGUUGUCAUCAUAUCAUAUAUUCUCAUAAUAAUCAAUUCUAUUAUAACAAGUAUAUUAACUCAAUAUUAUUGACCUAUGAGGCUCCUUUUCUAAGAUUCAAGACUUUCUGAACACAAAUUUAACUCUGAAUUGACCUAUAUAAACUUAAUAAAAAAUUCCUGCUUAACCGACUGUAACUAUGUAGUGCUGUAAUUGAUAAACCAUCAGAUAUCACCAACCGAUUAAUGUAGUACGAUGAACUAAUGGUAAUAUUCUGCUAAGCAUUGCCCAAAUUGUAACUCUGAUUCAAAUGUCACUGUGGUCAACUCCUCUGGGAAGAAAGCUGUUUGUAGUCCAUGCCUAACGCCUUUGUUUCCACAUUCUAAUCUCUGAUUUAACCAUGGAUUUCUUAGAAGGGUUGCCUAAAUCAGAGUGGCUUGACUCAAUUUUGUUAGUGGUUGAUCGUGUAAGUAAAUAUGCCCAUUUUAUAGGCCUUAAGCAUGAUGGCGCCUUCUAUAGCAGCAAUUUCUGUGAAGUUGUGCGGUUGCACGGGGUACCAUGCUCUAUAAUCUCAGACAGAGAUAAGUUGUUCAUAAGCAAAUUUUGGAGUGAGCUAUUUUGACAAAAGGGCACUAAACUGAAGUAUACCUCAGCUUAUAAUCUGCAUAUUGAUGGACAAAUGGAGGUAGUUAACCAAGGUAUGGAGACAUAUCUGCGCUUUUUCACUUCGGUCAAACUGCCUUGGGCUGAUAUCUCGUUGUGAAUGAUAUUUCCUUUAUUAACCCAUCUCUCUUCUUUUCCUUUCCUCAUAUCUAAGCUUUUUUGGGUGGAAUUAGUUUCCAAUUCUGGUUAUGGUAUGGAACCCUCUUACAACACCUCAUUUCAUGUGUUCAACCAGCUUACUCAUUUUCGUAUCUUAUAUGGGCGGGAUCCUCUUCCCUUGUUGCGUUUUGAAAAGGGAACCACAGCUGUUUCUUCCUUGGAUCAGCUGAUGGCUAAAAGGGAGAGGCUAUUGGAGGAGCUUAAGAUAGAUUUACUCCAAGCCCAACAGUUUAUGAAAAUCGCGGCUGAUAAGCAUACAAGGGCAGUAGAAUUCUCAGCGUUAAUUUGAAAAUGCACCUUAUCGUCGUAAGUCUUUGGCACACUGUAUCAGUGAGACACUGUACUAUGGGCCCUUUUGGGUGUUGGCUAAGGUUGGGAAGGUUGCUGAUCGGUUAGCCCUGCCACCCGAAACAUAUAUUCACCCAGUAUUUGAUGCAUCAUAGUUGCAAAAGUCUCUGGGGACGUCAUUUAAUCUCUCAGCUACCUCCUCAUCUUGGUGCUGACUGGGAGUUGAUUGUGGAACCAGAAUCUGUCUUAGUGGUAAGCCGGCAAGGACUGCGAAGCUUGGAUAGCUGAAGGCUUGGAGGUGCUAAUUAAAUGGAAGGGGUUAUCUCCUAUGGAAGCAAAUUGGGAGCCAUUUGGUCUCAUUACUCAACAAUUUCCCACUUUCCACCUUGAGGACAGGGUGGCUGAAUUGGGGGGUAAUUGAUAGGCCCCAAUUAAGUAUACCUAUUCUAGAAGGAUCAAGAAGACUGGAGAAGGGGAGGGCAGCUCCAAACUCUGUUAGCUGGGAAGGCUGAGGUGGACAAAACAGUUGCAAGGAUUUUAUAAAUAGAGAAGGAAAUAGGAAGGAAUAGGCAAGUAAUUAAGUGUGUGAAAGGGGCUUAGGAGAGUAGUAGCCCUUUCAAACGGCUAUCCGUUAUUUUUCCUUAUUGCUCUACUUUAAAUUCCAUCAAUACAGAGCUAUUCCCUUGCUCUUGUUGAAUUUUUCCUAUUGUUUAUAGUAGAAUCCUAUCAGAAGGCUAUACCUUGUUGCAUUCCUAUUUUGUGCAAAUUAAAAUUGCUAGCAUUUAUUUUUUGUGCUGAUUGUAAAUUUGGUUUGGCUCCUUGUGAGGACUAUGCGAUAUUAUCAUGCAUCUCAUUAACUACUUGUAUAUAAGGGUUUCUGGUGCUUGCAUAAUCUCUGCAAGUAUUAGGGUAGAGUUUUUAAAAUUUUCGUUUUUCAUCUUUGAAAUUCUGUAGAUUUCAAAGGCCUCCUGGAGCUAUACCAUCU
rnacentral:lncRNA from 1 species